CAGCCCGCGACAGGUGCGCGGCCGCGGCAUUCGUGCACGUGUACUAUUUGUGAGUGCGCUGAUGCUGCGUCCUCCUCAUCGGCCCCGACUCGCCGAUAAUGGACUGUGCUCGUUUCAAUGGAAGAAGUACAUAAAUAAGAUUGAAUGAACCUGUCCCGA